CUGCCUCCAUCUGGGAGUGUUCAUCGCGCUCGCUCUCCCAAUGGCAUGGCUCUGCUCAACUCAGCAGCCUCUUGAGCUAUCUGGAGCCUGGGAGCCUCUUUAGUGCGGAAAGUCGGGCCACAGGCGGCUGGCGAGCAGAACCUCUGGAUGGACCCUUCCUCAGCAGCUUUGCUAAUUUGCAGAAGCUGGGCAAUUCUCCUCAUUAACAUCUGUCAGCAUAGUCCUGCGACGUUUCACUGUGGUGGAAGGGACUCAGCUCCGGAUUCUGUAUAGAAAAAACACCUGGAUCCCAGUCUUUCAAUGGCUUCAAGACAACCAGAAGUGCCUGCUCUUGCUCCCAGUGGACCUCUAGGCAAGAUGUCCCUGCCCAUCGGGAUGUACCGCCGAGCAUUCAGCUAGGAUGAUGCCCUAGAGGACCCUGCGACCAUGACGCCUCCUCCAUUGGACAUGGAUAGCAUCCCUGGAAGUCAGUGAUUCCAGAGAGCAAGUAUCAGCAUCUUGACAAGACAGAGGAAGGAGCAGUCAGUGUCUCUUCCCUUGCUGGGACGCCAUCACCAGCCACUGACAGUUCAGACAAGGCCCCUGUGGUGAAGGCUAAAGCUACCCAUGUCAUCGUGAGUUCCCUGAUCACAAAACAGACCCAAGAGAGCAUCCAGAGUUUUGAACAACAGGCAGGACUGAGAGAUGCUGGCUUACACGCCCCAUAAGGGUCUCCACUGAGGAGACUGACUCCCUUCGAGUGACAGGAGCACUUCAUAAACUAAAGCUGCAGAGUGGAGAGACAACAAGAGAAGAGAAGCAGCCUGCAUCGGCCCAGUCCACCCCAAGUAGCACCGGUCACUUGUCCCCGAAGCAGAAGUCCAGAGGCCGGUUCCCAUCUGGCUCCUCCACAGCCUUACCUGCUCCGAAUCAUCAUACCAUGGAUCCUGGGAGUGCAAAUGAUAGGAACUCAGCAGACAAAUGGAGCCUCUUUGGACCACGACCCCUGCAGAAGUCUGAUUCUGCUUUUGCCAUUCAGGCUGACAAAGGUGCCCCCAAACCCUCCCCUGUGGAGGUGAUGUAUGCCCAGGCCACAAGACUAGGUGAAGAUCCAGCAACCUUAAAGAUGCCAAAGAUGGAUGUCCCAGUGGUAGAAGGAAAGAGAACAACUGCUUUGAACCCAUAAUCUCAAAUCCCGUGACCUGAAUGUGUUCACACCCACUGGCUUCUAG
rnacentral:lncRNA from 1 species